CACGGACACUGGAAAGACGGCGCCGGGACAUAUUACUUGAUAGCGAGCGAUAAAACCGGAAAAGCUAGUUGUUUUGUGUACAGAGAAAAGGACGGCACAAUGAAGUUCUCCAACAGUCGUACCGCGUGUGUGAAGGAGGAUGAAACGCAAUUAGAUAGCAGCGUACAGUUUAAUGUUACACACAUAGGUAACUGCUAUUCUACGUCUGGCGCCAGCGGCAGCAUUGCCUCAUCGAUCCCAAACUGGCUUC